rnacentral:antisense_RNA from 1 species
AGUGGAGGUUGGAUUCAGAGGACAUGCGGAUCAGUGUGGGCUGUGCUGGUCAAGGAGGGCUUCCAGGGAGAGGCAACUGAGGAUUCACUGCAAUUGUUCCUUGAGAAGAUGAGGAUCAGGUCGGGAAUUGGAAACAUCUGAGGGCUAAAUUCAACCUGGCUUCUAAAAUGAACAUGGUCAACAUAGAUCAACUACUGAACUUCUUUUAACCUCUGGCAUCCUGUCUGUGAAUUGUGGGGAGGAAACAGGGUCCACCCGCUGCUGCACAAGAGGGGUGCGUGCAGACCAUCACCUUGUGUCUGCUGUAGCAGGAGACCCCUGGCCAUGCGGGACUGAACCCAUGAUUGCAGCUGAUCUUACUCUGUCUCUUCUCUGUGUGAGUAAAGUGUUGUUCCAUCU